rnacentral:miRNA from 1 species
UGAGCCACUGAUUCCUGUGUGC